UACGUAGGGGGGCAAGCGUUGUCCGGAUUUAUUGGGCGUAAAGAGCGUGUAGGCGGUUAGGUAGGUCCGUUGUGAAAACUCGAGGCUCAACCUCGAGACGCCGAUGGAAACCAUCUGACUAGAGUCCGGAAGAGGAGAGUGGAAUUCCUGGUGUAGCGGUGAAAUGCGCAGAUAUCAGGAAGAACACCCGUGGCUAAGGCGGCUCUCUAGUACGUGACUGACGCUGAGACGCGAAAGCGUGGGGAGCGAACAGGAU
rnacentral:rRNA from 1 species